UUUGCUGGAUGUUGUUACCGUGUGUGACUGUUAACUCUCAGAAGUCGGAUAUAUUGAUGGAUUUACAGGACUGCAAGUAUAAAAUGUUACACGCAGAUUUACUGGAUAGUUUUUCAUUCUUUGUAGGUUAUAUUAGGCUUUUAGCCAGAAGUGCAAUUGAUUGACGUUAGCUAAAUUGCUAUAUAGGCGCUACUUAACACACAAACCUAACGCGUAAUUUAGCUUUAAACUUUAGGAUAUACGUUAACGUUUGUAGUGACAGCGUCCAGUCUUUACGUUUAUAAGUUAAGUAACAGUAAGAAACAGUGUGUUUGCUCUGUCUGAAGGUAGUAAAUUGAGCUAGCUGGCAGUUUGCUCUCUUUCUGUUUUGGCUUUGUGUUGACUAGAUAACAAGCCUUAACAGGACGACUAGUCACGUAGCAUUAGCGUUUCAUGCCCAACUCGAAAUUCUGGGCUCUACCGAAAAUGAUCGUCCUGCCCUGUCCUAUUUUAUUAAGAUGAGCCCAUUGUGGAGUUUCCCUCUUUAUAUUUAUCUCCCCAGCUGAUUGGCUGGUGCGUGGAGGUGGCUGCUAGACAUUUCACCUCACUAGUGACAGUAAAUUCCCAUUUGUAAAUUUGUGGUUAAACUGCCAGGUCACGUUAUUUUAAUGUCAACAAAUCUACCUAAAAGUGACAAGUGAGUAUGCUAUUUUUAGGUGCAGAAGUCCAAGCAUCCACUAGAUGUCACCCUUAGGUAUGUUAUGGAAUAACUAUACUUAGAGCUCACCUGUUGUCCCUUUAUUUUUUAAGAGUGUCCUAUGAAGAUGUCUUCAUUAGUGGCCUAUGAGGAUUCAGAGUCAGAGGAUGAAUUUCUGGAUCAAACGAAGGAGGGAACAUCAGCUUCUGUCCAAACUGGAUCUUAUGAACAAAACCAAGAAGUUGUGAUGUGUAAUAACUCAGAUGUACCAGCCAAGCCUCGAAGUUUUACCCAUGACCCUGAGGGGACGGUGUUGGAAUAUCAUGGGAAUAUCUCAGAAAGAACCAUUUCCUGUUUGCAGCUGUUGUCACCAUGGCUACAGCAGGUAGUGGAAAGUGGUGCUUCUGGCAGGAGGUCUGUCAGGGAUGUGUGGCUGGUGUGUUAGCACGCCAAUGGAUCUGAUCAAAGCUCGUCUCCAGAUGGACUGGAUUGGGCAGCGGAGGUACCGAGGCUUUUUGCACUGUAUCACAGACAGCGUCCGCUCUGAGGGUCCUGGUGUCUUCUUCAGGGGUCUGAGUCUCAACCGCAUGCGAGCCGUCCCUGUCAACAUGGCAGUCCUCUCCUCGUAUGAGAUAGUGAUGCGCCUGCUCAAACAAACAAAUUAACUCGAACUCGCUUUUCUCACCUGAAUGUUCAUAAUGAAAGGGGAACACACCAGAAUUUUACUUUCCACAUUUGCACCUGGGAAUUCUGACAAGGAAACUUCAAAUAAUGCCGCAAUGAAGGAUUUUCCUGGAAGGUUGUGCUGAAUAAUAUAUUUACAUUAUUUUUGUAUGACACAAAUUUAUUAAGUAAGUAAAUGUUUUUUUUAUAAAGAAUAUUGGAGGUGUGGAGUUGUACGAAACUGACAAUGACAAUCUGUUAGUGAAGUGGUUCUCAGGCACCUUUAGUACUGGUUCAAAGUGAAGUAAGACUUCAGCAAGACAAUAAUAUCACAGAAUGCCUAUGUUGAUAUGUUUGAUGGGUGUGAUAUUGUGGGAAAAAUGGGUACUCUUUCUAUUUAACCCUAGAAAUAUUAAAACAAUAUUAUGUGCAUGCAUGCACUAGGAAACACUUAACACUGAAACCAGGUGACAAUGCCGCCAUCUGUAGGACAUGAGGGGUCACUCAAUGCUUUGAUGAGUAUGAAAUUGAUGCAAAUCAUAUGCUAUGGCAUUUACAGUCACCAGCUCCAGGUAUAGGAUAUGAUUACAUUUUUAAAUAAAACAUGUUUUCCAAA